UACGUAGGGUGCAAGCGUUAUUCGGAAUCAUUGGGCGUAAAGAGCUCGUAGGCGGUUUGUUGCGUCUGCUGUGAAAACUGGAGGCUCAACCUCCAGCCUGCAGUGGGUACGGGCAAGCUAGAGUGCGGUAGGGGAGAUUGGAAUUCCUGGUGUAGCGGUGGAAUGCGCAGAUAUCAGGAGGAACACCGAUGGCGAAGGCAGAUCUCUGGGCCGUAACUGACGCUGAGGCGCGAAAGCAUGGGGAGCGAACAGG
rnacentral:rRNA from 1 species